rnacentral:rRNA from 1 species
UACGUAGGGGGCAAGCGUUAUCCGGAUUUACUGGGUGUAAAGGGAGCGUAGACGGCAUCGCAAGUCAGAAGUGAAAAUCCGGGGCUCAACCCCGGAACUGCUUUUGAAACUGUGGAGCUGGAGUGCAGGAGAGGUAAGCGGAAUUCCUAGUGUAGCGGUGAAAUGCGUAGAUAUUAGGAGGAACACCAGUGGCGAAGGCGGCUUACUGGACUGUAACUGACGUUGAGGCUCGAAAGCGUGGGGAGCAAACAGG